GAUGAACGCUGGCGGCGUGCCUAAUACAUGCAAGUCGAGCGAACAGACGAGGUGCUUGCUCCCUCGACGUUAGCGGCGGACGGGUGAGUAACACGUAGGUAACCUACCUAUAAGACUGGGAUAACAUUGGGAAACCGGAGCUAAUACCGGAUAAUAUUUCGAACCGCAUGGUUCGAUAGUGAAAGAUGGCAUUGCUUUCACUUAUAGAUGGACCGGCCCCGUAUGAGCUAGUUGGUAAGGUAACGGCUUACCAAGGCAACGAUACGUAGCCGACCUGAGAGGGUGGUCGGCCACACUGGAACUGAGACACGGUCCAGACUCCUAGGGGGGGCAGCGGUAGGGAAUCUUCCGCAAUGGGCGAAUGCCUGACGGAGCAACGCGGCGUGAGGGAUGAAGGUGUUCGGAUCGUAAAACGCUGUUGUUAGGAAGGAAGAAACGUGUAAGUAACUGUGCACGUCAUGACGGUACCUAAUCAGAAAGCCACGGCUAACUACGUG
rnacentral:rRNA from 1 species